GUCUCCUUGGGAAAUAAAAAAGACUCUCUGAUUGCUUGAUUUUUCAGGUGGCCGACGGCGUUUCGUUGAUUCCCUGGAGGACCCUUCACAUGUGUGCUCCCGAUGGAAAAAUCAGAACGCUCCUUUUGCUUUACGGAGAAUCCCAUCUAACACACAGGACAUGGGGUUGGUGUGAACCCAAGGCGCAGAGGCCAACACCUGUGCCAUCUGUGCUCAUGGAGAGCUGGAGAAUCCGGAUCCUGUUCUAAUUCCGUUCUGCGGAGCACAGCUGUAAAAUCGUGAGAAGCUUCCAGAGAGGCACCGGCGUGGCCGACAGAUACAGGACCCCGACGGGGCAGGGAGGAC
rnacentral:lncRNA from 1 species